rnacentral:rRNA from 1 species
CCUACGGGUGGCAGCAGUGAGCAAUAUUGGUCAAUGGUCGGGAGACUGAACCAGCCAAGCCGCGUGCGGGAGGAAGGUACAGAGUAUCGUAAACCUCUUUUGUCAGGGAACAAAGCCCGCCACGUGUCCCCGGCUGCGUGUACCUUACGAAUAAGCAUCGGCUAACUCCGUGCCAGCAGCCGCGGUAAUCCGGAGGAUGCGAGCGUUAUCCGGAUUUAUUGGGUUUAAAGGGUGCGGAGGCGGUCUGUUAAGUCAGCUGUAAAAGCCCGGGGCUCAACCCCGGCCCGCCGUUGAAACUGGCAGCCUCGAGUUGGAGAGAGGCAGGCGGAAUGCGCGGUGUAGCGGUGAAAUGCAUAGAUAUCGCGCAGAACUCCGAUUGCGAAGGCAGCAUGCCGAGGCGACACUGACGCUGAGGCACGAAAGCGUGGGUAUCGAACAGGAUUAGAUACCCUUGUAGUC